rnacentral:rRNA from 1 species
AUUGAACGCUGGCGGCAUGCCUUACACAUGCAAGUCGAACGGCAGCAUGUCUUGUAGCAAUACAAGAUGAUGGCGAGUGGCGAACGGGUGAGUAAAGCAUCGGAACAUGUCCUAUAGUGGGGAAUAACUAUCCGAAAGGAUAGCUAAUACCGCAUAUACUGUGAGCAGGAAAGCGGGGGAUCGCAAGACCUCGCGCUAUAGGAGUGGCCGAUGUCGGAUUAGCUAGUUGGUGGGGUAAAGGCCUACCAAGGCUACGAUCCGUAGCGGGUCUGAGAGGAUGAUCCGCCACACUGGGACUGAGACACGGCCCAGACUCCUACGGGAGGCAGCAGUGGGGAAUUUUGGACAAUGGGGGCAACCCUGAUCCAGCCAUGCCGCGUGUGUGAAGAAGGCCUUCGGGUUGUAAAGCACUUUCGGCGGGGAAGAAAUCAUAUAGGCUAAUAUCCUGUGUGGAUGACGGUACCCGAAGAAGAAGCACCGGCUAACUACGUGCCAGCAGCCGCAGUAA